AAACUUACGCUAAUACCGCAUACGACCUACGGGUGAAAGCAGGGGAUCUUCGGACCUUGCGCGAUUGAAUGAGCCGAUGUCGGAUUAGCUAGUUGGCGGGGUAAAGGCCCACCAAGGCGACGAUCCGUAGCUGGUCUGAGAGGAUGAUCAGCCACACUGGAACUGAGACACGGUCCAGACUCCUACGGGAGGCAGCAGUGGGGAAUAUUGGACAAUGGGCGCAAGCCUGAUCCAGCCAUACCGCGUGGGUGAAGAAGGCCUUCGGGUUGUAAAGCCCUUUUGUUGGGAAAGAAAUCCAGCUGGUUAAUACCCGGUUGGGAUGACGGUACCCAAAGAAUAAGCACCGGCUAACUUCGUGCCAGCAGCCGCGGUAAUACGAAGGGUGCAAGCGUUACUCGGAAUUACUGGGCGUAAAGCGUGCGUAGGUGGUCGUUUAAGUCCGUUGUGAAAGCCCU
rnacentral:rRNA from 1 species